CAAGUGUUACCGGAGAGGCCGUAGACGGCCUGAGAGUUCAGUAAGUAAUCUGAUUAUCCGAGAACCUGAUCUGGGUAAUGCCAGCGUAGGGAGACAAUGGAGUUCUUCUA
rnacentral:ncRNA from 2 species